rnacentral:rRNA from 1 species
CGGUUGAUCCUGCCAGAGGUCACUGCUAUCGGUGUUCGACUAAGCCAUGCAAGUUAUAUGUUCUUCGUGAACAUGGCGAACUGCUCAGUAACACGUGGAUAACCUGCCCUUGGGACCGGCAUAACCCCGGGAAACUGGGGAUAAUUCCGGAUAUGCCAUGAUAGCUGGAAUGCUUCGUGGUUCAAAAGGAUUCGUCUGCCCAAGGAUGGGUCUGCGGCCUAUCAGGUAGUAGCGGGUGCAAGGUACCUGCUAGCCGACGACGGGUACGGGUUGUGAGAGCAAGAGCCCGGAGAUGGAUUCUGAGACAUGAAUCCAGGCCCUACGGGGCGCAGCAGGCGCGAAAACUUUACAAUGCGGGAAACCGCGAUAAGGGGACACCGAGUGCCAGCAUACAAUGCUGGCUGUCCGCAUGUGUAAACGGCAUGCGUUAGCAAGGGCCGGGCAAGACCGGUGCCAGCCGCCGCGGUAACACCGGCGGCCCGAGUGGUGAUCACUAUUAUUGGGUCUAAAGGGUCCGUAGCCGGUUUGAUCAGUCCUCUGGGAAAUCUGACAGCUCAACUGUUAGGCUUCCAGGGGAUACUGUCAGACUUGGGACCGGGAGAGGUAAGAGGUACCACAGGGGUAGGAGUGAAAUCUUGUAAUCCCUGUGGGACCACCAGUGGCGAAGGCGUCUUACCAGAACGGGUCC